GAUGAACGCUGGCGGCGUGCCUAAUACAUGCAAGUCGAGCGAACAGACGAGGAGCUUGCUCCUCUGACGUUAGGGGCGGACGGGUGAGAAACACGUGGAUAACCUACCUAUAAGACUGGGAUAACUUCGGGAAACGGGAGCUAAUACCGGAUAAUAUCUUGAACCGCAUGGUUCGAUAGUGAAAUACGGUUUUGCGGUCACGUCUAGAUGGUUCCGCGCCGCAUUAGCUAGUUGGUAAGGUAACGGCUUUCCAAGGCAACGAGGCGUAGCCGACCUGAGAGGGUGAUCGGCCACCUUGGAACUUGACCACGCACCAUGCGCCUACGGGAGGCAGCAGUAGGGUAUCUUCCGCAAUGGGCGAAAGCUUGACGGAGCAACGCCGCGUGAGUGAUGAAGGUCCUCCGAUCGUAAAACUCUGUUAUUAGGUAUGAACAAAUGUGUAAGUAACUAUGCACGUCUUGACGGUACCUAAUCAGAAAGCCCCGGCUAACUACGUG
rnacentral:rRNA from 1 species